rnacentral:rRNA from 1 species
UAAACGAUGUUUCGGCGGUAUUUUAGUCUAUUUAGAGGAACCUGCCCUAUAAUUGAUGACCCACGAUUCUUUACACUUAUUUUUAGUUUGCAUAUCGCCGUGGAUUGAAUAUUUUUAUGGAAAAGAAAUAUUCAAUAAUUUUUAUAAGAAAAAAAUUCAGGUCAAGAUGUAGCUUAUAGGUAAGAAGAGGUGGGUUACAAUAAAUUUAUUUAUAACGGAAUAGUAAGUAAAAUUUUACUAUGAAGGAGGAUUUAAGGGUAAUUUUAUUUAAAUUAAUAAAGUGAUUUUAGCUCUAAAAUAUGUACAUAUCGCCCGUCGCUUUCAUUAUAAAGUGGAAUAAGUCGUAACAGAGUAGGGGUACUGGAAAGUGCUCCUAGAAAGAACAAAUUAGAGCUUGAUAAAGCAUUUUAGUUACAUUAAAAAGUUUAUUGUAGAUUCAAUAUGAUUUGAAUUUAGUAUUUUAUUUUUUUUUAUAAAAUUUAUAUAGUUUUUAUAUAAGAAAAUUAUAUUUUUAUUAAUUUAUUUGAACAAAUAAUUUUUAUGAUAGUGAAAUAGUAUUGUGAAAGAAAAAUUUUAUAUAAUUAAAAGAAAAAUUAAAAUUUUGUACCUUGUGUAUCAGGGUUUAUUAAAUUAAAGUUAAAAAUUUAGUUAUCUCGAAUUAAUAAGAGUUAUAAUUAUAUAGUUGUUUUUGUUGAAUAAAAAUUAAUAAUAUAAUUAUAGAAGUGAAACGUUAUUCGAUUAUUAAUAUAUCUAGUUUUUAAAGAAAAAAAUUUAAUUUUAUUAUUAAUUAAUACAAAAUUAAAUUUAUAAUUCUGUAUUAUUAAUAUUUAAUAUCUUAAGGGAUGAGCUUUAAGAUAAAUUUUUUUAAAGUAUAAUAUUUUUUAAUUAAGUAGGAUUGUAAGUUUUUAUCUUUAAAAGUGUGUUGUAACUAUUUUAAAUUUAAAUAUAAUUUAUAUUAUAUUUUAAAAUAUUUUAUUUAAAUAAAAAUUUUAUUUUUAAAAAUUUUGUAAUAAUGAUAAAAUUAGUAUAAAUUUUUGUUUAAAAAGAAUUUAAAUGUAAGGUUAAAUAAAGGAAUUCGGCAAAAAUAUUUUUCACCUGUUUAUUAAAAACAUGGCCUUUUGAUUAUAAUUUAAGGUCUGGCCUGCCCAAUGAGUAUUUGAAUGGCCGCGGUAUUUUGACCGUGCAAAGGUAGCAUAAUCAUUAGUUUUUUAAUUGAAAGCUGGAAUGAAAGGUUGGAUGAGAAAAUAGCUGUCUCUAUUUAAAUUAUUUAGAAUUUUAUUUUUAAGUAAAAAAGCUUAAAUGUAAAUAGAAGACGAGAAGACCCUAUAGAGUUUUAUAUGUUUUUUUAUAAGAAGGUUUUAGAAUUAAU